rnacentral:rRNA from 1 species
UACGGGGGGAGCAAGCGUUGUUCGGAUUUACUGGGCGUAAAGGGCGGGUAGGCGGCCACCGCAAGUCAGUUGUGAAAUCUCCGGGCUUAACCCGGAAAGGUCAACUGAUACUGCGGGGCUAGAGUGCAGAAGGGGCAACUGGAAUUCUCGGUGUAGCGGUGAAAUGCGUAGAUAUCGAGAGGAACACCUGCGGCGAAGGCGGGUUGCUGGGCUGACACUGACGCUGAACUGCGAAAGCUAGGGGAGCAAACGGG